AACGAGGACCCUUCGAAGGCGAUCAGAUACCGCCCUAGUUCUAACCAUAAACGAUGCCAGCCAGCGAUCCGGCUGCGUUCCUCAAAUGACGCGCCGGGCAGCUUCCGGGAAACCAGAGCUUCUGGGUUCCGGGGGGAGUAUGGUUGCAAAGCUGGAACUUAAAGGAAUUGACGGAAAGACACCACCAGGCUUGGGAUCUGCGGCUCAAUUUGACUCAACACGGGAAAGCUAACCCGGCCCGGACACAGGAAGGAUUGACAGAUUGAGAGCUCUUUCUUGAUUCUGUGAGGUGUGGUGCAUGGCCGUCCUUAGUUGGUGGAGCGAUUUGUCUGCUUAAUUGCGUUAACGAACGAAAUCCCAACCUGCUAAAUAGGCGCUCUGAUCCUUCGAGUCAGACGCUCUUCUUAGAGGGACCGGCGGCGUUCAGCCGCACGAAACGGGGCCAUGACAGGUCUGGAAUGCCCUCAGAUGUCCGGGGCCGCACGCGCGUCACAUUGGAGGGAUCAGCGUGCGCUCUCCCGGCCCGAUAGGGUCGGGUAACCCGUUGAACCCCCUCCGUGCUUGGGAUAGGCGUUUGUAACUAUCCGCCUUGAACGAGGAAAGCCUAGUAAGCGCGAUUCAUCAAAUCGUGUUGACUUAGUCCCUGUCUUUUGUGCACACCGCCCGUCGCUAUACCCGAUGGGGCGUAUUAUUGAGUUCUUCGGACCGGCGAUCGGACUGGGUUUUUAACGACUCGGGCCGUUUUGCCGGAAAGAUGAGCAAAAUUGU
rnacentral:rRNA from 1 species